CCUUCCCCCUGUCCACGGGAUAGCCCGUCGAAAGGCGAUUAAUACCGUAUGAGGUCACACGAUGGCAUCAGACUGUGACGAAAGGUUUGGCGGACAGGGAUGGGGAUGCGUCCGAUUAGCUUGUUGGCGGGUAACGGCCCACCAAGGCAACGAUCGGUAGGGGUUCUGAGAGGAAGGUCCCCCACACUGGAACUGAGACACGGUCCAAACUCCUACGGGAGGCAGCAGUGAGGAAUAUUGGUCAAUGGACGAGAGUCUGAACCAGCCAAGUAGCGUGCAGGAAGACGGCCCUAUGGGUUGUAAACUGCUUUUAUAAGGGAAUAAAGUUAGUCUCGUGAGACUUUUUGCAUGUACCUUAUGAAUAAGGACCGGCUAAUUCCGUG
rnacentral:rRNA from 1 species